UAUGUAUCUUUAUGUGGUGCUGAGGAUCGAACCCAGUGCCUCACAUGUGCAAGGCAAGCACUCUGCCACUGAGCCACACCCCCAGCCCUCCUUAGCCCUUUUCUAUUUUUAUUUUGAGACAGGGUCUCAGUUACUUAGGGCCUCCCUAAUUUGUUAAGGCUGGCCUCCAACUUGCAAUCCUCCUGCCCCAGCCUCCCAAGCUGCUGGGAUGACAGACGCACGCCCCAUGGCCCUCCACGGUACCCAGCAGAACCCAGGCUCUGAAAUCAGGCCGUGGUGGUGUUGAAUCUCAGCAACCGUAGGCCCUUUUUUUUAAAUUCUCUGGGACUCAGUUUCCCCAUCUGUGGAAUCAGCAGCUGAGAAGAAAUCACUGAGUCUCAAAUUUGCGUUUUCUCUUUUUUCUUUUCUUUUUUUUCCUAACGACUGCGUCCCCAGUGACCAUGGCCCAGGAUGAGGGUAAGAGAAAGGUCAGGCACAGCUCCCAGGGCCUAACGGAGACCUGGAAUUUCUCUGGGUCACCUCCAUGGGAUUGCAAGGCUCCAACCAUCUGGGGGUCCUUGCUUUCUCCCAACUGGGCGCCUCUGUUGACCCUUCUCUAAGGACCACACCUCAUGAAGGGGGCGUGGGGCGAGCCUCAGAACCCACAUGGAAACAUCGCUUUCUGCCCACUGGAAAGUUCCACCACAGCAGAAGAUAGAUGUAAAUGAGACUUGAAAGAAAUAACAAGAGACAUCACCAAGCCGGACGAGCUCAGAGGGACAGGCGUGGGGCCGUCCCUGGGUGACAUGGUGGGGACAGGGACAGACAGGGAAGUGGGCAGCAAGACCAGAAACCAGGGAGAAUGUCUCUUCUCCUUCUUUCUUCUUCUUUUAAAACUCUUGGGUAAGCUACUGACUAAUACCCACUGUCAUCUCUUAGCACCAGGGCAAUUUCCUCUGUGUUCUAGAACCUUCUUGGGAAACCCGGUAGCUUUGAUGGAAAGGUCCCCGAGGGGGAUAGUCUGAGCAAGGCACGCUGGUGGCUUUGAAGGCCAAAUGGAGACUGGGCCUGCAAACCUCAGAAGAGAGCCAGGCACUGUGACAUAGGCCUGCAAUCCCAGCGAUGGAGGGGAGGCUGAGGCAGGAGGAUCGCACAUUGGAGGCCAGCCUCGGGAACUUAGCAAGACUCUGUCUCAACAAUUUUUAAAAUUUUUUUGAAAAAAAGAACAUGCUUCCUUUCCAGAGAUGACAGAUGGACGUGUUUUCAGCAAGCAAAGAGCCACCCCCUGCCACACCAUGGGUGGAAGUGAGGCUGAGCAUAUUUGGACGGGGACAACCCCAGUCUGGCCUCCCCUGGCCCCUGCUCCCCACCCCCCCAGAGGUGUCCUGUGUGGCAGGGCACAGCUGACGACGACAGGGUGGUGACUGGGGAGUACGUGCUGGGACACACACACAGACUCCAGGAACAAUACAGGGAAAUCGAGUUCUCACAGGAAAUAUCAUAUUGACUCACGACAGAUCCAUCCAUAAAACAAACCCCGGGUACCUGGGGCCGGGCCCAGAGAGCCACGGCGCUCACCCGGGAGAUAGUAGCAC
rnacentral:lncRNA from 1 species